AAUCUACGGAGGUUACAGAUGGGCAUGCGUGCCAUUAGCUAGAUGGUAAGGUAACGGCUUACCAUGGCAAUGAUGGCUAGGGGUUCUGCAAGGAAGGCCCCCCACACUGGUACUGAGACACAGACCAGACGUCGUACGGGAGGCAGCAGUGAGGAAUAUUGGUCAAUGGAGGCAACUCUGAACCAGCCAAGCCGCGUGAAGGAAGACUGUCCUAUGGAUUGUAAACUUCUUUUGUGGCAGAAUAAACUACCGUACUCGUACGGUAUUGCAUGUAUGCCAUGAAUAAGCAUCGGCUAACUCCGUGCCAGCAGCCGCGGUAAUACGGAGGAUGCAGGCGUUAUCCGGAUUUAUUAGGUUUAAAGGGUGUUCAGGCUGCCUGGUAAGUCAGGGGUGAAAGUCGGUCGCUCAACGAUCGAAUUGCCUUUGAAACUGUCAGGCUCGAGUAUGGAUGCGGUAGGCGGAAUGUGUAGUGUAGCGGUGAAAUGCAUAGAUAUUACACAGAACACCGAUUGCGAAGGCAGCUUACCAAACCAGCACUGACGCUGAAGCACGAAAGCGUGGGGAGCGAACAGGAUUAGAUACCCUGGUAGUCCACGCCGUAAACUUUGCUCACUCGCUGUUGGCGAUAGACAGUCAGCGGCCAAGGGAAACCGAUAAGUGAGCCACCUGGGGAGUACGGCCGCAAGGUUGAAACUCAAAGGAAUUGACGGGGGCCCGCACAAGCGGUGGAACAUGUGGUUUAAUUCGAUGAUACGCGAGGAACCUUACCUGGGCUUAAAUGUGAAGUGCAUUGAUUGGAAACAAUCAUUUCCUUCGGGACCCUUUACAAGGUGCUGCAUGGUUGUCGUCAGCUCGUGCCGUGAGGUGUCGGGUUAAGUCCCAUAACGAGCGCAACCCCUAUUGUUAGUUACCAGCGCGUGAUGGCGGGGACUCUAGCGAAACUGCCGGUCUCCCCCGCGAGCAAGGUGGGGAUGACGUCAAAUCAGCACGGCCCUUAUGUCCAGGGCUACACACGUGUUACAAUGGCCGGUACAGCGGGCAGCUAGGCAGCGAUGUCAUGCUAAUCCCGAAAGCCGGUCCCAGUUCGGAUUGGGGUCUGCAACCCGACUCCAUGAAGG
rnacentral:rRNA from 1 species